rnacentral:rRNA from 1 species
UACAGAGGGUGCGAGCGUUAAUCGGAUUUACUGGGCGUAAAGGGCGCGUAGGCGGUUAUGUAAGUGAGAUGUGAAAUCCCUGGGCUUAACCUAGGAACUGCAUCUCAUACUGCGUAGCUAGAGUAUUGUAGAGGGUAGUGGAAUUUCCGGUGCAGCGGUGAAAUGCGUAGAGAUCGGAAGGAACACCAGUUGCGAAGGCGGCUACCUGGACAAAUACUGACGCUGAUGCGCGAAAGCGUGGGGAUCAAACAGG